CCUGAAUAACAUUUCAUAUAUCCUAUAUAAACUGUUGGAUUUAUUUUAAAAAUCCUACAGAGAGGAUAACUAACUACAUCUGUUACUCCGGCCUUUGACAUCUGGGCAUCUCUCUUACUCCAAGCACUCUUUACAGGAUUUCUUUUUCCAUUGCAGAUGGUCCUGUGCACAUGUUUCUCUUCCAUUGGUUGCGGGUCCGACCCUGCUACCGGAACACCACACACAGUUGUGCAUAAAAGCACGCUUUCACCCUCCUCUGUUUCACCCCCGACACCGCACACCCGCUCCAGUGAAGACCUGCAGCAGCACCGGAGAGUCACUUACUGCGGCAGCAUGAGUUUUGACUGAAACUGUUUAGACUUCACCUCCACGUGUGUCCAGCAGAGGUCAAUACUGAACAACAAUAAUACAGCAACAGUCAGACAUCAUCAAACAGAUGAAAUCUGAAGGACCACAUUGACAUUGAUGUAUAAAACUGAUGAGAUUCUUGCAUAUUUUAGCAUCUUCAGACUAAUAGUUUAGGUAAGUGUGUAUUCACAUUAUUCAAAUGUAUACUCAUGACUUCAUACAUCAAGCUGUUUCUCUUGGUUUGUGCUAUAAGUUAGUAGGUGAUUUCAAAAGGAAAAUAUCAAUCCUAAAAAACAAUUCCAUUUUUAAGUUCAUUAAGAUUUUUUAUGCAUGCAUUUAAUGAUUGUCAUCAUUUGCGUAAUGCAAAAAUAAGUUAUUCUUAUUUCUAUAAUGAGGAUAAAAAGAAAUUGAAUUGAUG